AUUGAACGCUGGCGGCAUGCCUUACACAUGCAAGUCGAACGGCAGCACGGGAGCAAUCCUGGUGGCGAGUGGCGAACGGGUGAGUAAUAUAUCGGAACGUGCCCGGUCGUGGGGGAUAACGUAGCGAAAGCUACGCUAAUACCGCAUACGAUCUACGGAUGAAAGCGGGGGAUCGCAAGACCUCGCGCGAUUGGAGCGGCCGAUAUCAGAUUAGGUAGUUGGUGAGGUAAAGGCGUCACCAAGCCGACGAUCUGUAGCUGGUCUGAGAGGACGACCAGCCACACUGGGACUGAGACACGGCCCAGACUCCUACGGGAGGCAGCAGUGGGAAUUUUGGAC
rnacentral:rRNA from 1 species